rnacentral:rRNA from 1 species
AGGCGGCGGCGGCUACAAUGCAGUCGAGCGCGUGAGGAACUGAUUGCUUCCGGUGGAUUGUUGCGGACCGAGGGGUGGAGGGGUGAAAAACGCCUGGGCAACCUACCCAUGAGAUCGGAAUAACUCCGGGAAACCGGAGCUAAUACCGAAUAAACCAGUGAACUGCUUGGAUCUUUGGUAAUUGGAUGAUUCUGUCGCCAAUCAUGGAUGGGCCCGCGGAGCGUUAUAUAAUUGGUAAGGUAACGGCUUACCCUGCGACGAUGCGUAGCCGACCUGAAAUGGUGAUCGGCCACACUGGGACUGAGACACGGCCCAGACUCCUACGGGAGGCAGCAGUAGGGAAUCUUCCGCAAUGGACGAAAGUCUGACGGAGCAACGCCGCGUGAACGAUGAUUGUCUUCCGAUCGAAAAGCUCUGUUGUUAGGGAAGAAC